rnacentral:misc_RNA from 1 species
AAGUCGUAACAAGGUUUCCGUAGGUGAACCUGCGGAAGGAUCAUUACAAAUCAUGGCGAGCCUCACGUUUCGCGAGGUUUUGCGUCCAUUUUUCGUAUUUAAAACAUCCCACUCUUUAAAAAAUUUAUUUAAUGAUAAAUAAAUAAAAAGAUCACUUUCAACAGCGGAUCUCUUGGCUCUC